rnacentral:rRNA from 1 species
GACGAACGCUGGCGGCGUGCUUAACACAUGCAAGUCGAACGGAAAGGCCCUGCUUUUGUGGGGUGCUCGAGUGGCGAACGGGUGAGUAACACGUGAGUAACCUGCCCUUGACUUUGGGAUAACUUCAGGAAACUGGGGCUAAUACCGGAUAGGAGCUCCUGCUGCAUGGUGGGGGUUGGAAAGUUUCGGCGGUUGGGGAUGGACUCGCGGCUUAUCAGCUUGUUGGUGGGGUAGUGGCUUACCAAGGCUUUGACGGGUAGCCGGCCUGAGAGGGUGACCGGCCACAUUGGGACUGAGAUACGGCCCAGACUCCUACGGGAGGCAGCAGUGGGGAAUAUUGCACAAUGGGCGGAAGCCUGAUGCAGCAACGCCGCGUGCGGGAUGACGGCCUUCGGGUUGUAAACCGCUUUCGCCUGUGACGAAGCGUGAGUGACGGUAAUGGGUAAAGAAGCACCGGCUAACUACGUGCCAGCAGCCGCGGUGAUACGUAGGGUGCGAGCGUUGUCCGGAUUUAUUGGGCGUAGGGCUCGUAGGUGGUUGAUCGCGUCGGAAGUGUAAUCUUGGGGCUUAACCCUGAGCGUGCUUUCGAUACGGGUUGACUUGAGGAAGGUAGGGGAGAAUGGAAUUCCUGGUGGAGCGGUGGAAUGCGCAGAUAUCAGGAGGAACACCAGUGGCGAAGGCGGUUCUCUGGGCCUUUCCUGACGCUGAGGAGCGAAAGCGUGGGGAGCGAACAGGCUUAGAUACCCUGGUAGUCCACGCUGUAAACGGUGGGUACUAGGUGUGGGGUCCAUUCCACGGGUUCCGUGCCGUAGCUAACGCUUUAAGUACCCCGCCUGGGGAGUACGGCCGCAAGGCUAAAACUCAAAGGAAUUGACGGGGCCCCGCACAAGCGGCGGAGCAUGCGGAUUAAUUCGAUGCAACGCGUAGAACCUUACCUGGGUUUGACAUGGAUCGGGAGUGCUCAGAGAUGGGUGUGCCUCUUUUGGGGUCGGUUCACAGGUGGUGCAUGGCUGUCGUCAGCUCGUGUCGUGAGAUGUUGGGUUAAGUCCCGCAACGAGCGCAACCCUUGUUCACUGUUGCCAGCACGUUAUGGUGGGGACUCAGUGGAGACCGCCGGGGUCAACUCGGAGGAAGGUGGGGAUGACGUCAAGUCAUCAUGCCCCUUAUGUCCAGGGCUUCACGCAUGCUACAAUGGCUGGUACAGAGAGUGGCGAGCCUGUGAGGGUGAGCGAAUCUCGGAAAGCCGGUCUCAGUUCGGAUUGGGGUCUGCAACUCGACCUCAUGAAGUCGGAGUCGCUAGUAAUCGCAGAUCAGCAACGCUGCGGUGAAUACGUUCCCGGGGCU